CACCUUCAAACUCCGGCAACUAUCAUCCGGAGCGUAUGAGAUUUCUAUUUUCCAUAUCCUUGGCACCUCUUUAUGUCAAGCAUUUGAAUGUUUGUCCAUUUGGAGCCAGGAAGAUACUUAACUAGAUAAGAGAAGGAACAGUGGUGACAGAUCAGAGACUGGAAUAUUGUGGUCACAAGCUAAGGACUGCUGGCAGCCGUUGGAACCAGAGGAGUGGAUUUUUUCCUGGAGCCCCAAGAAGGAACCAGCCCUGUUGAGACCGUCAUUCUAACACACUGGACCCUUGCCUUGUUGCUGACCAGUAGAAUCUGACCAAGUGUCCUGCUACAAAUCUUAAAUCUGCACGGAAGUUAACUCUAACAGCAUGAAGGACCUUGGAACCUGACCCCUUUUCAGUUGAACAUCCAGAUGAGAACUCAGACCUCAUGUAGGCGUUAAUUUCAGUUUUGUGAGACCAAAGCCAAGUUCUCAGUUAAACUUUGCCCAGACUCUGAAUCACAGAAUAUGUGUAUGAUUUUAAAUCACUAAGUUUGUGCUAAUUUAUUAAACACAUUCUCUCAUCUUUGUCUUUCCUUUCCUUUUUUUUUUAAUGUCUACCAAAUUUUACUCCAAGAACUUAGUAAGGAAUUGGUUUUCUACGGGCAAAAACAAUAUUGUUCCUUGUGUUAUAAAUUAUGCUGGUGUAAAAAUAUGUUUGUGAUUGGUCCUGGG